rnacentral:rRNA from 1 species
UACGAAGGGGGCUAGCGUUGCUCGGAAUCACUGGGCGUAAAGGGUGCGUAGGCGGGUCUUUAAGUCAGGGGUGAAAUCCUGGAGCUCAACUCCAGAACUGCCUUUGAUACUGAGGAUCUUGAGUUCGGGAGAGGUGAGUGGAACUGCGAGUGUAGAGGUGAAAUUCGUAGAUAUUCGCAAGAACACCAGUGGCGAAGGCGUCUCACUGGCCCGAUACUGACGCUGAGGUGCUAAAGCGUGGGGAGCAAACAGG